UGCGGGGUGGAGGAGAAGUACCUCGCCAGGCUCAUAACCUGGAGGCGCUGGUGCAAUUCCAGCCCCCGCAA
rnacentral:tRNA from 1 species